rnacentral:rRNA from 1 species
GACGAACGCUGGCGGCGUGCCUAAUACAUGCAAGUCGAACGAACUCUGGUAUUGAUUGGUGCUUGCAUCAUGAUUUACAUUUGAGUGAGUGGCGGACUGGUGAGUAACACGUGGGAAACCUGCCCAGAAGCGGGGGAUAACACCUGGAAACAGAUGCUAAUACCGCAUAACAACUUGGACCGCAUGGUCCGAGUUUGAAAGAUGGCUUCGGCUAUCACUUUUGGAUGGUCCCGCGGCGUAUUAGCUAGAUGGUGAGGUAACGGCUCACCAUGGCAAUGAUACGUAGCCGACCUGAGAGGGUAAUCGGCCACAUUGGGACUGAGACACGGCCCAAACUCCUACGGGAGGCAGCAGUAGGGAAUCUUCCACAAUGGACGAAAGUCUGAUGGAGCAACGCCGCGUGAGUGAAGAAGGGUUUCGGCUCGUAAAACUCUGUUGUUAAAGAAGAACAUAUCUGAGAGUAACUGUUCAGGUAUUGACGGUAUUUAACCAGAAAGCCACGGCUAACUACGUGCCAGCAGCCGCGGUAAUACGUAGGUGGCAAGCGUUGUCCGGAUUUAUUGGGCGUAAAGCGAGCGCAGGCGGUUUUUUAAGUCUGAUGUGAAAGCCUUCGGCUCAACCGAAGAAGUGCAUCGGAAACUGGGAAACUUGAGUGCAGAAGAGGACAGUGGAACUCCAUGUGUAGCGGUGAAAUGCGUAGAUAUAUGGAAGAACACCAGUGGCGAAGGCGGCUGUCUGGUCUGUAACUGACGCUGAGGCUCGAAAGUAUGGGUAGCAAACAGGAUUAGAUACCCUGGUAGUCCAUACCGUAAACGAUGAAUGCUAAGUGUUGGAGGGUUUCCGCCCUUCAGUGCUGCAGCUAACGCAUUAAGCAUUCCGCCUGGGGAGUACGGCCGCAAGGCUGAAACUCAAAGGAAUUGACGGGGGCCCGCACAAGCGGUGGAGCAUGUGGUUUAAUUCGAAGCUACGCGAAGAACCUUACCAGGUCUUGACAUACUAUGCAAAUCUAAGAGAUUAGACGUUCCCUUCGGGGACAUGGAUACAGGUGGUGCAUGGUUGUCGUCAGCUCGUGUCGUGAGAUGUUGGGUUAAGUCCCGCAACGAGCGCAACCCUUAUUAUCAGUUGCCAGCAUUAAGUUGGGCACUCUGGUGAGACUGCCGGUGACAAACCGGAGGAAGGUGGGGAUGACGUCAAAUCAUCAUGCCCCUUAUGACCUGGGCUACACACGUGCUACAAUGGAUGGUACAACGAGUUGCGAACUCGCGAGAGUAAGCUAAUCUCUUAAAGCCAUUCUCAGUUCGGAUUGUAGGCUGCAACUCGCCUACAUGAAGUCGGAAUCGCUAGUAAUCGCGGAUCAGCAUGCCGCGGUGAAUACGUUCCCGGGCCUUGUACACACCGCCCGUCACACCAUGAGAGUUUGUAACACCCAAAGUCGGUGGGGUAACCUUUUAGGAACCAGCCGCCUAAGGUGGGACAGAUGAUUAGGGUG